UACGUAGGGGGCAAGCGUUGUCCGGAUUUAUUGGGCGUAAAGAGCGUGUAGGCGGUUUGGGAGGUCCGCUGUGAAAACUCGAGGCUCAACCUCGAGACGCCGGUGGAAACCAUCAGACUAGAGUCCGGAAGAGGAGAGUGGAAUUCCUGGUGUAGCGGUGAAAUGCGCAGAUAUCAGGAAGAACACCCGUGGCUAAGGCGGCUCUCUAGUACGGUACUGACGCUGAGACGCGAAAGCGUGGGGAGCGAACAGG
rnacentral:rRNA from 1 species